UACGUAGGGUGCAAGCGUUGUCCGGAAUUAUUGGGCGUAAAGAGCUCGUAGGCGGUUUGUCGCGUCUGCUGUGAAAACUCGGGGCUUAACCCCGGGCCUGCAGUGGGUACGGGCAGACUAGAGUGCGGUAGGGGGAGACUGGAAUUCCUGGUGUAGCGGUGAAAUGCGCAGAUAUCAGGAGGAACACCGGUGGCGAAGGCGGGUCUCUGGGCCGUAACUGACGCUGAGGAGCGAAAGGCGUGGGGAGC
rnacentral:rRNA from 1 species